AACGAACGCUGGCGGCAGGCUUAACACAUGCAAGUCGAACGAGAAGCUAUCCUUCGGGGUAGUGGAAAGUGGCAGACGGGUGAGUAACGCGUGGGAACGUGCCUUUCGGUUCGGAAUAACUCAGGGAAACUUGGGCUAAUACCGGAUACGCCCUUCGGGGGAAAGAUUUAUCGCCGAAAGAUCGGCCCGCGUCGGAUUAGCUUGUUGGUGAGGUAAAAGCUCACCAAGGCGACGAUCCGUAGCUGGUCUGAGAGGAUGAUCAGCCACACUGGGACUGAGACACGGCCCAGACUCCUACGGGAGGCAGCAGUGGGGAAUAUUGGACAAUGGGCGCAAGCCUGAUCCAGCCAUGCCGCGUGUGUGAAGAAGGCCUUCGGGUUGUAAAGCACUUUCACCCGUGAAGAUGAUGACGGUAGCGGGAGAAGAAGCCCCGGCUAACUCCGUG
rnacentral:rRNA from 1 species